GACGAACGCUGGCGGCGUGCCUAAUACAUGCAAGUCGAACGCACUUUCGUUAGAUUGAAGAAGCUUGCUUCUGAUUGAUAACAUUUGAGUGAGUGGCGGACGGGUGAGUAACACGUGGGUAACCUGCCCUAAAGUGGGGGAUAACAUUUGGAAACAGAUGCUAAUACCGCAUAAAACCUAGCACCGCAUGGUGCAAGGUUGAAAGAUGGUUUCGACUAUCACUUUAGGAUGGACCCGCGGUGCAUUAGUUAGUUGGUGAGGUAAAGGCUCACCAAGACCGUGAUGCAUAGCCGACCUGAGAGGGUAAUCGGCCACACUGGGACUGAGACACGGCCCAGACUCCUACGGGAGGCAGCAGUAGGGAAUCUUCCACAAUGGACGAAAGUCUGAUGGAGCAACGCCGCGUGAGUGAAGAAGGUUUUCGGAUCGUAAAACUCUGUUGUUGGAGAAGAAUGUAUCUGAUAGUAACUGAUCAGGUAGUGACGGUAUCCAACCAGAAAGCCACGGCUAACUACGUG
rnacentral:rRNA from 2 species